GGAGGGCAUAGCUCAGUGGUAGAGCACAUGCUUAGCAUGCAUGAGGUCCUGGGUUCAAUCCCCAGUGCCUCCA
rnacentral:tRNA from 1 species